AGCCAGACUCCUACGGGAGGCAGCAGUGAGGAAUAUUGGUCAAUGGUCGGGAGACUGAACCAGCCAAGCCGCGUGAGGGAGGAAGGUACAGAGUAUCGUAAACCUCUUUUGUCAGGGAACAAAGGCGGGGACGUGUCCCCGGAUGAGUGUACCUGAAGAAAAAGCAUCGGCUAACUCCGUGCCAGCAGCCGCGGUAAUACGGAGGAUGCGAGCGUUAUCCGGAUUUAUUGGGUUUAAAGGGUGCGUAGGCGGACGGUCAAGUCAGCGGUAAAAUGCGGGGGCUCAACCUCCGCCCGCCGUCGAAACUGACGGUCUUGAGUGGGCGAGAAGUAUGCGGAAUGCGUGGUGUAGCGGUGAAAUGCAUAGAUAUCACGCAGAACUCCGAUUGCGAAGGCAGCAUGCCGGCGCCCAACUGACGCUGAAGCACGAAAGCGUGGGUAUCGAACAGGAUUAGAUACCCUAGUAUA
rnacentral:rRNA from 1 species